GGGCGGUUAGCUCAGCUGGAUAGAGUACAGGCCUCCGAAGCCUGGGGUCGUGCGUUCGAAUCGCAUACCGCCCACCA
rnacentral:tRNA from 1 species